GAUGAAGAACGUAGCGAAAUGCGAUAAGUAGUGUGAAUUGCAGAAUUCAGUGAAUCAUCGAAUCUUUGAACGCACAUUGCGCCCUUUGGUAUUCCAGAGGGCAUGCCUGUUCGAGCGUCAUUUGUACCCUCAAGCUUUGCUUGGUGUUGGGCGUCUUGUCUCUAGCUUUGCUGGAGACUCGCCUUAAAGUAAUUGGCAGCCGGCCUACUGGUUUCGGAGCGCAGCACAAGUCGCACUCUCUAUCAGCAAAGGUCUAGCAUCCAUUAAGCCUUUUUUUCAACUUUUGACCUCGGAUCAGGUAGGGAUACCCGCUGAACUUAAGCAUAUCAAUAAGCGGAGGA
rnacentral:misc_RNA from 1 species